UAUAGGGUCAGGAAUACACAUUUAAAUUCCUGACUCUAUAGUGUUCCAUUAAGGUAAACUUGUGUAGUGCAGAAGAAAGGUUUUGAGAAUCACUACCUAACCUAACUAUUUGGACUUCAGGAUAUAUUUUCAAUAACAAAAAAAUUCAAUAAAAUUUAGGGACCCAUCUAUAGUACUUAACUGAAAUUAAGUUAAGCAAACCAUGAAAACUAAUAUAGAAUAAAGUGAAAACUAAUAUAGAAUAAAGUAAAAUAUAAGUAGGGAAAAUGAUAAACCACUUGCAUAUGUUUAAGAUGGCAACAUUCCCUCAAGGUGUCCGAGG